UAGAGAUUUCAUGACGAGGCAUUGUUUAAGAAUAAAGGGUGCUGCUGUAACUCUGCUGGUCUGUCUGUCUGGGGCAUGGGUUCAGGGGGAUAGUAGAAGGAGGGAUAAAGGGAGUGAAAGUACCAGCCCUGACAUCUGGACUGAAAUGAGAUCGCUGAGAGACAUGGUGGUGGAACAGACAGUGGAGCUGAGAAACAUGGAGGCCAAACUGAUGGAGAGUGAGAAAUAGGUGGAAGAGCUGAAGACAGAGAACACAGCCUGAGAGGCCAGAAUGACAACCAGUGAGAGAGCCAGCUGUGGGAUCGGAAGACAGAGAAUGUAUCUUCACAGCACCAGUGAAAGGAGUAUACUACUUCAGAUUCACCAUCAUGGACCGCCGGGGCUCUGCUUUGCUGGGUGUGAACUUGUAUAAAGUAUGGUCCCGCCUGAGCUGCCCAUCUGCCCAGCGCCGU